UAAGUGUGUGUGCACUGUAAAACAUUAUAGCCUCAUUAAGUUAUGUGUACUAACAUUUGCUAUUUAGUUCUACUACACACAGCAAGUUUUAGAUAUUCAACCCAAGUCUGUAAGUUUUCACAAAGUUAAACUUAAAGUUACAUAUUGUCUUAACUACUUGUGAGUUGUCUCUGUGAUGUGAAUGUUCAUUUAACUAACUUCUGUAAGUUAUGAAUCACAACGAGAGGGAGGGGUCGUGUCCAGAAAAGACCGGGAAAAUUUCAGUUAACUUUACCUCAGACACAGCGCUCAUCUGAAAUGACCAAUAAUACAUUUUUUUUGCAAGGCUGCAAAGGAGGUAUGUAUGAUUUUUUUUGUCUUGAUGUAAUAAAGAUGCCCUUUAUACAUUUUUAGAUAAAAAUAUUGAGUUUAAAGUAAAGAAAAUAUGCAGACAUCGAGCCUGCUUUGCGAAUGCGUCGUCGUCAGGAUAUUUAUCUGCUUUCACAUCGAAGCAUCAAAUGUUAAAAGAGUUUAAUACACCAUGGGGACAAUUUUGGAUAUUUCAAUUGGUUGUGCGUAACGUUAUAUCGAUUAUUUUGAUUAUAAAUAUAGCUUACAGUUUAACAUUUAAGCUUAACAGAUUUGUUUGUUCACUGUCAAUGUGAAUUAAUCACGGGCUGAGUCUUAAGCGUUUAAGAAACGGGUAAUGUAUUAUUGUGAUGCUUGAAAGAUUUUUAUCCUCGUGCGAUUAAGGGCACGAGGGGAAUAUGCGUUGAAAUGAACGCAAAUAGUGUCUAAUAAGUGUUCGAGGAUCUGUUCGUCUGACAUAAAGGCCAUAAAAAACCUUUAAAUAGAUUUAUAUCUCUCAGUCACUUAACAAGUGGACACAAUAUCUGUUCGUUUCCACAGAAUUAUGUGUUUAAGUCUAGCAGGGCAGCCAUUUCAGGCUACUGCGCACGCGCAUAGGUUUGCAACCUCUCGCCAGAGAAUCCCCUUUACAUGUUGUUGAUGGACGCACGUGUUUGCUGAACAUACAGGACACCAUAUGAUUAAAAACUGCCUCCCUAUCUUGUCAUAAAUAACAGGUAUUUGCAUGAUUUUUACCAUUUUAUAAUCUGUAUGUCGUAUUUUUGGUAUUUUGUACAAGAGUACUAAGUAUUUUGAUCAUAGCGAUUACAGUGGUGUAAGUUACCGGAUCGCAGACGACCAUAGACUGUAAAAAAUAGAUCACGACCCACGGUUCGGCUCCCAUGCGAUUCGCGGAUUAAUAUCUAUACAAAGUUUGUCAUUUGCAUGUUUAUUAAAGUCUUGCAAAUGUUAACACUCAAGUGAUUUUUAAACAAUUUAACCACAAAAGUCUGUUUUUACUUUUUACAGUCUCGUUUUGUCACUCUGCAUCUUGUGGCUGAUAAGCUAUUGAAGAAGAGCUGUCCAUCACUUUAUGGACAUUCAAGUUAACAUAAGUCCGCUUGCUAUUGAAGAAGAGCUGCCCAUCACUUUGACGACGUUCAAGUUAACAUAAGGUAUUGUAAAAACAAUGUUGGCCUAAUACUAUCAACUUAAUACAUUUACUGUAAACUGUGCAGUUCUUUACUCAUACAAUUUCAUGUUUUUUUUUCCUAAUCUGCUUUUAUUACUUUGUCUUGUUUUGUUACUCUGCAUCUUUGUGGCCGCCCAUCACUUUGACGACGUUCAAGUUAACAUAAGGUAUUGUAAAAGCAAUGUUGCCUAAUACUAUCAACUUAAUACAUUUACUGUAAACUGUGCAGUUCUUUACUCAUACAAUUUCCUGUUUUUUUUUCCUAAUCUGCUUUUAUUACUUUGUCUUGUUUUGUUACUCUGCAUCUUUGUGGCCGCCCAUCACUUUGACGACGUUCAAGUUAACAUAAGUCCGCUUGCUAUUGAAGAAGAGCUGCCCAUCACUUUGACGACGUUCAAGUUAACAUAAGGUAUUGUAAAAACAAUGUUGGCCUAAUACUAUCAACUUAAUACAUUUACUGUAAACUGUGCAGUUCUUUACUCAUACAAUUUCAUGUUUUUUUUUUCCUAAUCUGCUUUUAUUACUUUGUCUUGUUUUGUUACUCUGCAUCUUUGUGGCUGCCCAUCACUUUGACGACGUUCAAGUUAACAUAAGGUAUUGUAAAAGCAAUGUUGCCUAAUACUAUCAACUUAAUACAUUUACUGUAAACUGUGCAGUUCUUUACUCAUACAAUUUCAUGUUUUUUUUUCCUAAUCUGCUUUUAUUACUUUGUCUUGUUUUGUUACUCUGCAUCUUUGUGGCCGCCCAUCACUUUGACGACGUUCAAGUUAACAUAAGUCCGCUUGCUAUUGAAGAAGAGCUGCCCAUCACUUUGACGACGUUCAAGUUAACAUAAGGUAUUGUAAAAACAAUGUUGGCCUAAUACUAUCAACUUAAUACAUUUACUGUAAACUGUGCAGUUCUUUACUCAUACAAUUUCAUGUUUUUUUUUUCCUAAUCUGCUUUUAUUACUUUGUCUUGUUUUGUUACUCUGCAUCUUUGUGGCUGCCCAUCACUUUGACGACGUUCAAGUUAACAUAAGUCCGCUUGCUAUUGAAGAAGAGCUGCCCAUCACUUUGACGACGUUCAAGUUAACAUAAGUCCGCUUUUACUACUUUGUCUCGUUUGGUCACUCUGCAUCUGUGUGGCUGCAUAGAAGAAGAGCUGCUCAUCACUUUGACGACAUUCAAGUUAACAUAAGCAGUUGGUGCAUUAAGAUACCUCUCAGAGUUAUUGUGUCAUCUCAAGAAAUAAGGUGUGUCACCCUAGAGAGUUUUCCUGAGUCAGUCAAGGAGCUAUGUGUGACAUGGUGCAUCAUUCUGGGCUUGCAAGGAAACUUUCUUCUACACUUUGAGGAUCCAGACUUUGGAAAUGAGCACUGCAAUUUCACCGAUAUUAAAGAUCUACCAUCAGAUCGAGUGACACUGAAAGUUUUGUUGACAGCUUCUGGUUCGGUUUCUGACUUUGCAUUACAAUUACUACUAGUGCCUCAUCAGUGGAAUGGCCUGAUCCUUUUGUUAUUCCUGAUUUCUCUCAUGAUGUUGAACUUCAGUUGAGCGCUGCAAAUGAUGCCUAUGCCAGGGAUGGAACAGUAAUGGUCAUUUCCAAUGGUGUUAAAUACUAGACAAACCAGCUGAUGUGAAAUGUUGACUGUUUCCAAGGUCCAUCGGUUUAUUUUGUAAAAGACUUUCUUAGCGACUGGGUAUUAACAAAAAAGGUUUGGUGAUAGUUAUAUUGCAUUAAUUGUUCUUUAAAAAAAACUAACUCUAAAAUACGUGGCUUUUAAAAUAAUAAUAAUAAUACUAAUAAUUUGAAAAUUAACAGUGCAAAACUAUUUUUAUCAUAUUUGAGUUUUUAUCAGUAAAAGAAACAUUACACAUACCUGUAUCUAUUAUUACAACUAUGGUGUUGAUUUCACAGUUUAAAAACAUUAAAGAAACCCAUAUAAUAUUUAAAUGAAAUUUGUUUUUAAUAAACAUUUGUAAUAUUCAUUUUUAACAAAAAUGCUUUUCCAAGCCAAUGUUACAAAUUGUUCUUGUGCAAAUAAAUAGUUUUUGAGCUAAUAAUUUGCAA